UACGGAGGGUGCAAACGUUAUCCGGAAUCACUGGGCGUAAAGAGCAUGUAGGUGGUUUAUUAAGUGAGUGAUUAAAGACCGUCGCCUAACGACGGGAAUGUUGCUUAUACUGGUUUACUUGAGAGUAACAGGGGCAGGCGGAACUUUGGGUGUAGGGGUGAAAUCCGUAGAUAUCCAAAGGAACACCAAUGGCGAAGGCAGCCUGCUGGGUUAUUUCUGACACUGAGAUGCGAAGCGUGGGAGCAACGGG
rnacentral:rRNA from 1 species